GUCGGUAAAACUCGUGCCAGCCACCGCGGUUAUACGAGAGGCCCAAGUUGAUAGUCGACGGCGUAAAGCGUGGUUAGAAAGAACCCAACAUUAAAGCCGAACAUCUUCAAAGCUGUUAUACGCACUCGAAGACAAGAAGCUCACCCACGAAAGUGGCUUUAUAAUCUUGAAUCCACGAAAGCUAGGAAACAAACUGGGAUUAGAUACCCCACUAUG
rnacentral:rRNA from 1 species